rnacentral:rRNA from 1 species
AAACAAAACUAUUCGCCAGAGUACUACCGGCAACAGCUUAAAACUCAAAGGACUUGGCGGUGCUUUAUACCCUUCUAGAGGAGCCUGUUCUAUAAUCGAUAAACCCCGAUAAACCUCACCAUUCCUUGCUAAUUCAGUCUAUAUACCGCCAUCUUCAGCAAACCCUAAAAAGGUACAAAAGUAAGCACAAUCAUAGCACAUAAAGACGUUAGGUCAAGGUGUAACCUAUGGAGUGGAAAGAAAUGGGCUACAUUUUCUAAUAUAAGAAAAUCUAACACGAAAGUUAUUAUGAAAUUAAUAACCAAAGGAGGAUUUAGCAGUAAACUAAGAAUAGAGUGCUUAGUUGAAUUAGGCCAUGAAGCACGCACACACC